GGGCAUGUAGCUCAGGUUAUUGGAGCACGUGGCUAUGAACAAUGAUGUCGGGGGUUCGAAUUCCUCCUCGUUCA